rnacentral:rRNA from 1 species
GUAGUUGUACUCGUGUCAGGAUGAACGCUGGCGGCGUGCUUAAUACAUGCAAGUCGAACGAAGCAUAUGAGACGGAGUUCUUCGGAAUAAAGAUUCAUAUGACUGAGUGGCGGACGGGUGAGUAACGCGUGGGUAACCUGCCUUGUACAGGGGGAUAACAGUUGGAAACAGCUGCUAAUACCGCAUAAGUGCACAGUAUCGCAUGAUACAGUGUAAAAAACUCCGGUGGUACAAGAUGGACCCGCGUCUGAUUAGCUAGUUGGUGGGGUAACGGCCUACCAAGGCGACGAUCAGUAGCCGACUUGAGAGAGUGAUCGGCCACAUUGGGACUGAGACACGGCCCAAACUCCUACGGGAGGCAGCAGUAGGGAAUAUUGCACAAUGGGGGAAACCCUGAUGCAGCGACGCCGCGUGAAGGAAGAAGUAUUUCGGUAUGUAAACUUCUAUCAGCAAGGAGGAAAAUGACGGUACUUGACUAAGAAGCCCCGGCUAAAUACGUG